ACGAACGCUGGCGGCGUGCCUAACACAUGCAAGUCGAGCGCGAAAGUCCCUUCGGGGAUAGGUAGAGCGGCGCACGGGUGAGUAACACGUGGAUAAUCUGCCCUCAGGCCUGGAAUAACCAAGGGAAACUUUGGCUAAUACCGGAUAAGACCACAUAACGAGAGUUAUGCGAGAAAAGCAGGGGAAUUCUUCGGAAUCCUUGCACCAGAGGAUGAGUCCGCGUCCCAUCAGCUAGUUGGCGGGGUAAUGGCCCACCAAGGCUAAGACGGGUAGCUGGUCUGAGAGGAUGGCCAGCCACACUGGAACUGAGACACGGUCCAGACUCCUACGGGAGGCAGCAGUGGGGAAUUGUUCGCAAUGGGCGCAAGCCUGACGACGCAACGCCGCGUGGAGGAUGAAGGUCUUCGGAUUGUAAAGCUCUGUGGCCCGGACGAUGGGUCAGUUCGACCUAACACUCCAAAUAUUGACGGUACCGGUGCAAGGAAGCCCCGGCUAACUCUGUGCCAGCAGCCGCGGUAAGACAGAGGGUGCAAGCGUUGUUCGGAAUUACUGGGCGUAAAGGGCGCGUAGGCGGCCUUCGUAAGUCGGACUGUGAAAGCCCCGGGCUCAACCUGGAAGCUGCAUCCGAUAACUGUGAGGCUUGAAUCUCGGGAGAGGGAUGCGGAAUUCCCAGUGUAGCGGUGAAAUUCGUAGAUAUCUGGAGGAACACCGGUGGCGAAGGCGACAGCCUGGACCGAGUAUUGACGCUGAGGCGCGAGAGCCAGUGGGAGCAAACAGGGAUUAGAUACCCCUGGUAGUCCACUGCCUAAACGAUGGAUACUUAGGUGUUGCGGGUAUCGAUCCCCUGCCGUGCCGAAGCUAACGCAUUAAGCUUACCCGCCUGGGGAAGUACGGUCCGCAAGGCUAAACUCAAAGGAAUUGACGGGGGCCCGCACAAGCGGUGGAGCAUGUGGUUCAAUUCGACGCAACGCGAAGAACCUUACCCAGGCUUGAACUGCAGGUGACAUCCUACGAAAGUAGGCUUCCGCAAGGACACCUGUAGAGGUGCUGCAUGGCUGUCGUCAGCUCGUGUCGUGAGAUGUUGGGUUAAGUCCCGCAACGAGCGCAACCCUUGUCUUCUGUUGCCAUCGGGUUAUGCCGGGCACUCUGAAGAGACUGCCGGUGACAAACCGGAGGAAGGUGGGGAUGACGUCAAGUCAGCAUGGCCUUUAUGUCUGGGGCCACACACGUGCUACAAUGGCCGGUACAAACCGUCGCGAUCUCGCGAGAGGGAGCUAAUCGGAGAAAGCCGGUCUCAGUUCGGAUUGUAGGCUGCAACUCGCCUGCAUGAAGUUGGAAUCGCUAGUAAUCGCGGAUCAGCACGCCGCGGUGAAUACGUUCCCGGGCCUUGUACACACCGCCCGUCACAUCACGAAAGCCGGCUGUACUAGAAGUCGCUGCGCUAACCCGCAAGGGGGGCAAGCGCCUAAGGUAUGGUCGGUGAUUGGGGUG
rnacentral:rRNA from 1 species